rnacentral:rRNA from 2 species
GCUAAUACCGGAUAGGAUCUUCUCCUUCAUGGGAGAUGAUUGAAAGAUGGUUUCGGCUAUCACUUACAGAUGGGCCCGCGGUGCAUUAGCUAGUUGGUGAGGUAACGGCUCACCAAGGCAACGAUGCAUAGCCGACCUGAGAGGGUGAUCGGCCACACUGGGACUGAGACACGGCCCAGACUCCUACGGGAGGCAGCAGUAGGGAAUCUUCCGCAAUGGACGAAAGUCUGACGGAGCAACGCCGCGUGAGUGAUGAAGGCUUUCGGGUCGUAAAACUCUGUUGUUAGGGAAGAACAAGUA